UGUUUUGAGUCUUUUUGACAUAAAAUCAUUUCGUCUCCUCUGUCUCGAAGGGGACAUAAGAAGGUCGCUGAUUGGCUGCACCUUGCUCAAGCUGUUUUCGCUCCGGGACGAUCGAUCACACUUUUUCACAGCUCAGAUUGGCAUGUUGGUGAACUUAUUAGCUUAGAUUUCACGUUAUUCAUGCCUACAUGAGCUGCAUACAACUGCUCUAAUCGGUAGGAUGUGGACGGACAUUGCAUUCAUUCCCAUUCAGCCGUUGGACUGAACCGGUACUGUAACACAGUAUGGAUGGUCAAUAUGAAGCGAGCUUCAUUGAAUUCCUCCAAGAGCUUUGUACUCCGUUUUGCUCAUUUUGAAGAUGGUAGCUUUGACAGGACUGGGCAAGUGACUCGUCUUAGACAGGAUGCUGUCCCAACCAUAUUUGAUUUCCUGCCUCGUCUUCAGAAGAGUUCAUCCAAGCCAAGGAAUUCCCCGAAAGAAAGACGUUUUGAUUCAGCAAACAACCUCCCAGAUACUGCAAAGUCUUCAGCACCUUCAUUUUUCGAGGACCACUCCUACUCAAUAUCAGAAAGUCCAAGAGGGGUAAAGUGGAAGAUAACAGCAAUAAUGGACUAUUAAAAACUUGGAGAAGAGGCUGAAACCACACAGCAGAAGUCCCGCCGUGUACAUUACUUGCUCUUAAGUUUGGACAAACAUGACUCGCAAAACUUUACAACAAAUAAUUUACGCUAUGUGCAUUCUGAUUAUUUGAAAUAGCUCAAUGAAAAAGUUUACCACUGGGCAUGUAACAAAAGUGCAUUCAUUAAAUUUGAACGUGUUGCAAAAAUGAUGUCUUACAGUAUAUUCAUUCUGACUUAGAAUGUCAGAAGAGAAAAAAGUUUGUGAAAAGUAGGAAUGACAGCAAGCUGACAGAAGAAUAGAACAGGAUAGAACAAGGCGAUAGUUAUGAAUGAGCUGUUGGAUAGAGACAAAAAGAUGAAUUAAGAAUGGGGGUGAUAGAGAAAGAGAGACGGGUGUUGGGGGAGCCUGUGAUCAAUGCCUGAGAAAGCGAAGAUUACCAUAAUUUUUUUAAGGAUUUGAACAGUCAGGAAGAAUCUGGGUUUUUUUUCUGUUGGUAUUUCUCAAAAUACUUGUAUGUUUUAUGUAACGAAACGGGUAUAAUCCUUCGGAAGUUUCACUCACACAGAAAAUAUUAACUA